UACGUAGGUGGCAAGCGUUGUCCGGAAUUAUUGGGCGUAAAGAGCGUGUAGGCGGCCAGGUAGGUCUGCUGUGAAAACUCGAGGCUCAACCUCGAGCUGUCGGCGGAAACCAUCUGGCUAGAGUCCGGAAGAGGAGAAUGGAAUUCCCGGUGUAGCGGUGAAAUGCGCAGAUAUCGGGAAGAACACCCGUGGCGAAGGCGGUUCUCUGGGACGGUACUGACGCUGAGACGCGAAAGCGUGGGGAGCGAACAGG
rnacentral:rRNA from 1 species